UACGUAGGGUGCGAGCGUUAAUCGGAAUUACUGGGCGUAAAGCGUGCGCAGGCGGCGCGUUAAGACAGGUGUGAAAGCCCCGAGCUUAACUUGGGAAUUGCGCUUGUGACUGGCGUGCUGGAGUGUGGCAGAGGGAGGUGGAAUUCCACGUGUAGCAGUGAAAUGCGUAGAGAUGUGGAGGAACACCGAUGGCGAAGGCGACUCUUUGGCCUGUAACUGACACUGAGGCGCGAAAGCGUGGGGAGCAAACAGG
rnacentral:rRNA from 1 species